GACGAACCGUGCGAACGUUGUUCGGCCUCACUGGGCUUAAAGGGCGCGUAGGCGGCUUGCCAAGUCAGGGGUGAAAUCUUGCGGCUCAACCGUAAUAAGCCUUUGAUACUGGCAGGCUCGAGGGAGGUAGGGGCAUGUGGAACUUCUGGUGGAGCGGUGAAAUGCGUUGAUAUCAGAAGGAACGCCGGUGGCGAAAGCGCCGUGCUGGAUCUCUUCUGACGCUGAGGCGCGAAAGCUAGGGUAGCGAACGGG
rnacentral:rRNA from 1 species